rnacentral:rRNA from 1 species
GAGUUUGAUCCUGGCUCAGAUUGAACGCUGGCGGCGUGCCUAACACAUGCAAGUCGAGCGGUAACAGGUGUAGCAAUACAUGCUGACGAGCGGCGGACGGGUGAGUAAUGCUUGGGAAUCUGCCUGUUAGUGGGGGACAACCCGGGGAAACUCGGGCUAAUACCGCAUACGCACUACGGUGGAAAGCCGGGGACCGCAAGGCCUGGCGCUAACAGAUGAGCCCAAGUCGGAUUAGCUAGUUGGUAGGGUAAUGGCCUACCAAGGCGACGAUCCGUAACUGGUCUGAGAGGACGACCAGUCACACCGGAACUGAGACACGGUCCGGACUCCUACGGGAGGCAGCAGUGGGGAAUAUUGGACAAUGGGCGAAAGCCUGAUCCAGCGACGCCGCGUGGGUGAAGAAGGCCUGCGGGUUGUAAAGCCCUUUCGGUGGGGAAGAAAAGCCUCGAGCUAAUACCUCGGGGUCUUGACGUAACCCAUAGAAGAA